AACGAACGCUGGCGGCAUGCCUAACACAUGCAAGUCGAACGAGACCUUCGGGUCUAGUGGCGCACGGGUGCGUAACGCGUGGGAACCUGCCCUUAGGUUCGGAAUAACUCCCCGAAAGGGGUGCUAAUACCGGAUAAUGUCUUCGGACCAAAGAUUUAUCGCCUUUGGAUGGGCCCGCGUUGGAUUAGCUAGUUGGUAGGGUAAAAGCCUACCAAGGCGACGAUCCAUAGCUGGUCUGAGAGGAUGAUCAGCCACACUGGGACUGAGACACGGCCCAGAAUCCUACGGGAGGCAGCAGUGGGGAAUAUUGGACAAUGGGCGAAAGCCUGAUCCAGCCAUGCCGCGUGAGUGAUGAAGGCCUUAGGGUUGUAAAGCUCUUUUACCCGGGAUGAUAAUGACAGUACCGGGAGAAUAAGCUCCGGCUAACUCCGUG
rnacentral:rRNA from 1 species